ensembl:lncRNA
CCUUCAGACUGCUCCAUUCCACACAGCACUAACCCCCACGAGAUGCUCCAUGACUCCCUGGCGUAGCCCACAGAUGCUCGUAGAUACGGCUGCCCAUCCCCGUGCGUCCCUCCGUCUGUCUGUCUGUCAGAGCCCUGAACUUUACAAAAGAGGAUAAAGUCAAUUUGUCUGCGCUCGUUCCGGGCGGAGCCCCGCGUGGCUUACGACAACUUAUCACGGGUAACAGAAAACGACGUGCUGUCUCCGGCACCGAGGCGAAACAAGGAGGAAGCGUCCAGCAAAGAGAAAACUCGAGCGGGUAAAAAAAGGGUUGAACAAUCCAGGCUGAGGUUGAUUCAAAUACCGGUUAAUAGUUAUACAGCUUUUUAUAAUAACACUGAUCUCCUCUCCAACUUUUUUCUGCUGUCCCUCUCCACAGGAUUGUGAAAAUUAUUGCAGCUUUCCAUGUGGGAUGUGCAAGUGUCCUUGUAUGUCAUACAUGUAUGUAUGGAAACCUAAACAAGCUUAUACGUUUUUGAAUUUCAAUUGUCAGGUUGAGCAAUGUGCUCAAAUUGUCAAGUUUAAGUGAAGUUGCGAAAGAUGGCUGUUUUAAAUUUUUUUUUAACCAAUUUUCCCUCCAACUUUUACUUGACAAUGCAAAGAUGCUUUACCUGCGUCCACGAUAUCCACUUUGAUAGAUAUGUUUCAAGAGAUAUGCACAAAUGCACCCCAUCUUCACUCACGGUAAGGUGUUAAUAGAUAAAUAUAAAUAAAGAUAGAUAAAUAUGAUGAUUUUUUUAUUUUUUAUUAUUAUUUAUCAUAAAAUGGGCUCAUCUUUUUAACAACAGUAUAAAGAAGUUAUUGGCACUAAAAAUGAAACAUAAUUCAUUUUCCAAUUUAAAUGUUCUCACUUUAAAGGGAUGCACUUUAUAAAUGUCUGGAAAAUGUCUCGACGUCGCCUCUAUUACUGCACUGACUGGAAAGUGGUCAUUUUCUAUCUGAAUAAAGGUGCCAAGUGAUUUAUCACAUUUGUAGCCAACCGGAUCCAACACAUGAGGUCGAGCACAAACUCUGAACAAUGGCGACAUAUCUGCUUCAAAAAUAACCCAGCUGACUGCGCCAAAAGAAGGCCAACUGUGUCCAGGGUUGAAAGCUGAAGCGGCUCGUCACCAAGUCUUUGUUUGAUAACAGGGAUUUUCCUUCGCAGAGAAUCGCAAGGUCUGUCAUAUUUGGUGGAUUUCUGUCAUUUCUAAUAGGUGCUGUAUUACAUCAACGUGGUGGUAUCGUAUUUUUAUCUGAGUAAAUGUCACCACGACAAUGUAAAAUGUAUUUACUUAAUUAGUUAUCUUAAUUAUCUUCGGAUGCCACAGUGAAGAAGUAAGGAAAGAUAGAAAUGGAAACCUUUUAACGUCUCGUCUGUAAUGCACUUUAAAUUUCAACUAUUUAGUUGAAAGAGUUGCUGUGAAAUCAUCGGCCCGGACUGCCGAGAGGAGAACAUGUGACCUACGGUAUCAUGAGCAAGCCGCUCAUUCCGUAGGUCUGUAGGGCUCAGUCCCUUUGCUGUCCCACGGGGGACAUCCUGCAUUAGCAUGGACACGUCAUCUGGUGGAUGAUGACACACUCCAGUAGCCCCAGAAACUGGCCUCGGCUACCGAGUUCCUCCAUCCCCCACCAAGAGGUCACCCCCCCCUCAGCAGUCAGCACUCCCUCCACCUUCUGCGUGGCAAUAAUCACAGGAUCGCUGGACUGAUGCCUCUUCAGUGAACCUCUGCUCGGUCCUAUUUUAAUGUUUAUUUGUGAUUUUUUUUAGGACAAAUGCUGAUGAAACUAGUGUAAACUGUUACUGAUGGACCCAUUGAUGAGCGGAGCCCCAUAAUAUCUAUUAGAAAAGCUCGUGAAAUGAUUCACUUAUCCAACAGAUCACAGAGGAAAGGAGAGGAGAUUGGUUCAGCAUUGCUUAUUGUGAAUCAGCCAUCUAAAUAGUACAUAAUCGGUGGAGAAAUAUAUUUUGAAUUGGAAGACGGAGGUCAAGCCAAACGCACCUGUUUACUCUUCGUCAUUCGCCAUCCAAGGGAGUCGAAGCAGAGAAAGGCAAUGAGGCGCUUUAUCAAAUUCAGACACCUCUGCUGACAGUAAAACAAUGGAAUACAAAUGUCCCCUCCCAUCUGUGGACACAUGAUAUGAAGAGCGUGAUAUUUGACUUCACGCAUCCCCCCCCCCCACCCAACUCCUGGUUCCACAAAUCACCUGUCGGCUCUCUUGCAAUCACAAAAAGGGUCAAAGGCUCCUCGUCAUGCUUGUCGAUCACAGCAGUGUCCAACUUGAUGCCCUGAACUGACUUUGUAGUUCACUCCGGAGUUGAGAGAGUGAGAAAACUCAACACACAGUAGCUAAAAAGGGAAACAGGAAGUUAGAUACAAUAGAGAAGACCUUUGAUCCACGAUGAGGGGGACGACUUCCCCUCUGGGUGCAAACUAUUAAUGCGAAAGUGACUCUUUCCAUUGCACUUUUGUUACUGCAAAUAAUGGAUCUAAAAUAAGCACACAAUGGCAGGCAGGCGGGCGACACUUGCACCCAGCCAUGUGCAGGAAGGGAGCGGGAGGUAAUUGUAUGAAAAUGAGUGAUUUGUUGCGGCCGGGCUGAUUAAGAGCGCCGGCCGGUCGCCAUUUAAGGACAGAGGGUCCCGUGUUUGAGCUCCUCCUGCAUCGACUGUGUGGAACCGGUAUCUGCUGCUUGAAGUGCGUCCGUGAACACCUCAAGGCAUUCGGAAGCUCCUCUGGGUCACAGGUGGAGCCUCGCCAAAUGAAAUGCGCGUCUUUGCUUUUCCAAUAUUUUGUAUUUGUGUGCAUCAGACCAACGGGAGGCCCUCGCAGACAGUGUUCCUCUAAAGAAAAAAUAACAAUUACAAAAACCCGGACGGAAAGCUGAUUUGAUUGGCAAUUUUUUUUUUUGCAAGGCCAGCUGCAGGAUGAGUGUGCAGGAGAAAGGGAGAGAAGGCGGACGGUUUUGUAUUCAGGCUGCUUGUGCCUGUGUGCGUACACGUGUGUUUUUCCAUCGUUUAUCACUGUAACCUAGAGAACACGGGUGAAAGAGCGGUCGUAAUACACGUGUAAUGACAAAAGUAUUCGGUUUUAUCACCACUUGUUGUUUUUUCUCUUCAUUUUUAAGAGACCCGCCAGCAGCGAGGAUCAUGAAAUCCAUUUUCCAGCGACCGUCGCUCACUGAAAACGUCUACAUAUGAACAUACGCAAGUAGCCUUGGAUACACAAACACACUUGUGCUGAAUUAGCAGCACAAAGACGCUGGUUAUAAAAUGUUGAAGUUGCAGUCUGUGAAAACAAUAAGCAGCAGAGCUUUGUGUAGCUGAAAGAAAAGCCUUGAGGUCGCCGUCAUGAGGAAACUUUUUAUGAACUCCUGUCACGGGAGCGGCAGAGUAUCUGGUGCUGGUCUGGUUGUGGAAACAGACGAUGGGCUCUGCCUGGGGACCACGGCCUUUGGUGAACUGAUAUGGAUGAUAGUCCUUGUUUCAGGCUCAUGGAUUCAUCUCUAAUAACUGGAAUACUAUUUAUUGGCAAGAUUAGAAAAAGGGGAAUUCCCCCCUCGCGAUUUCUGCAUCAACUGAUCUUUCUUUUUAUCAGUGUUAUAUUAUAUUAGAAGAGAAAGAGACGGUGGGCGAAACGGUGGCUCAGAUGCUUCCAACGAGGUUCUAGUCGAAGAAAAUUGUGUUUCUAUCUCUCAUGAGCACAGCUACUAGAGUGCCGCUUCACUCAAAGCAUUCAUGAAAGACUUUUUACUUCUUUUUUUUUUUUUACAUUUUGAUUUGAUUAAUACUUAUUGCGUUUGUCAGUCAGCAGGAACAGCUUUGCCUGUCGUGCCAAAAAGUGAUUGCCAAGAGAUUGCAGCCUGUUAGAGCAUAUUACCCAGUUUAUUGUCUACAGCUGCUUUCAUGUGGAUGACUUUUAUUGAAGUAACACUACAUCACAACAACUGUUUUUCAGCAUGAACGGGAAAUAUUUCAAUCUUUUAUCUCGUCGGAAUUUACAGAUAUUAUUUUCCAACAUACUCUUCAAUUGACAGAUACAAAUAGGAUAAAACAACUUCUGAGUUAUAAGUUCAUCUGGUUACAGUCAAACAUUCGACCAUUCGGAGAAACUAGUGCGUUUUGUUGCUUCAUUACAAAAUGAACAACAUAUUGUCAAAUGUAAACUGAGUGGUAUUUAGAAGAUGAAUGCACUACAUGUUAGUGUGAGCGACAUGGAGGAGUUCUGAGGCUCGACAAUGAGUCUUGGUCUGUAACUCAUCUGGGUAAAAAAGAAGACAAAACAAAAACAUAUUUUAAUAAAAAAUAUAAAAAUUAAUAAAAAACUCCUAUAGAAUGUUGGAAAGUCAAUACAUUGAUAUAUUCAAUCACUGAUUCUUUUUUGUGGGGCCAUGGUUGUCACAGAUAGAUGGAUGAUAGAUGGAUGAUAGAUAGAUGGAUGGAAGGAAAGAGGCAGACACAGAGGGAGAGAACGAGGUAGAGGCCGGCAGUGUCCCCAGCUGGUUUUGGCUAUCUAAUAAACAUGUAAACACUCUGCGUUCUCUACCUCAUUAGGUGAUUGCAGAGGCCGCUUGCUCUCCAUAAAUCAGGGCCCAGGUUAUCAAGGCCUCUGAUCUUAACUGUAGUGGGCGCCCAGCUGUCUACAGCCGCACUGACGAGGAACCGCAGGGUCCGUGGAAUUCAAUUCCCCUCUUCUCCCACAUUUCUCAUUUUGCAAAUAAAAGAGGGGAAAUAUGCUCGUAAGCGCUCGAGAACACAUGCUAACCGGUCAUCAAAUGCAAGGUAUGUCGUUUGUUGAACGGAAAUGUUCCCGCAAAACGUACAGCAUUAUGUCUUCUUCACAAAUGUCAGGUGAUGUGAGGUUUUUACUCCCGAGAAAUGGUGAGAAAAACAUAAUCUCCUGAGAGCAAGUUUGACCGAAAGAUGAAAAAGUUCAAAUAAUGAAAAACGGCUGCGUGAGCUCGAGAUCACACGCCUCUUGUACCUCCAUAAAGGUUACUACUUGCUAGGUUCAAGCACAGUAUCACUCUUUUAUUGCCUAAUGUAAAACACACUCUGUGUUCUAGUUGGCCUACUAAACUUCACAGUGCUUACUGACAGCUUUCUCCAGUCAUCUUUAAAACUCUCCGCAGCUUGAAUUUCCUCUGAACUCCUGGUCUAGUUGGCUGAUUAUUCCACGUUUUAAAUCGUACCGGUGUUAAUUUAAAACAAUAUCACUCCCGCAGUGGCCACAACUGAGGCCAGUAAACAAAUUCAAUUCACAUUAUGGUCUGAAAACAAUUCCAAAAAGGUUUGAAAAUAGCCUUAAUUGCCUAAUUAAGAACCAUAAAACCGUUAUUGCCACCAUGCAAAUGAAAGUGACACAACAUCACCGUUCAUUUGAGAGCCUUUGCUGAAAUGACAUCAGGUGAACGGAUAACACUUUGCAAAAACGAGAUAUGACCGAUUAAAACCAGGACUCGUGUAAACCAAAGCACUGAUGGAAAUAUACGCCGUUCCAUAAAAUCCAGAAAAGUCGAGAUCUCGGCCAUCUGCCGUUUACCAAUCACCUCAAAUGUAUUGAGCAGUCAGGAACGCUGGGCAGCGGGUGGUGGAAGUGUGGAGCGCGAGCACUCCUCCUCCGAGCUCCAGACCAGUUUAAGAGCUGUAGACCCUUUUUGGGACCGCUUCGGCGUUGAAAGCCUCCCUCCGUGGACUUAAAAUUCAUGGCUCGUGUUUCUGCGGUAGUGGUGCGGAAUGACUCCCUCCCUAUGUUGAGCCCACGGGACCUUGGCAUUAGCUGAUGCAGAAACAGGUGGAUGGGAUAGGUUGUAAUUUUAGCGGGUUGUUAGUCAGAGGCCACUGGAAGCCUUACUGCUACAGUGAGGGGUCUUUAGUGCGAUAUCAAAUUGAAAUGUGACGCCAGAUCCCAGCAAUCUUUUCAUCUGUACCGAAACAGCUACCCGGGCGAGUCCGCUGUGCCGCGAGGGCCCAGAGCCACAUUUUCAUAUGAUGUGGGCGGAGUUUUCAUUUGAAGUAAAGCCUCAUAAGCCACCACGCGUUAACAGGAAGUCCGCAUAGGGUUGGAAAUGACAGCGAAUAUGAUAUUUAGGAUUGAAUAAUGACAAUGUUUGCAGCAAAUGGGGCAUCAGUCAGCAGUAGCAUUCACAUUCAGGAGAGGUCAAUUACUGAGAGAAACUCCUGGAUAAAAGACUGUUGGGAUACAUUAAAGCUGGUCUUGGCAGUAUGGAGAGCUGUCGUAAUGUGAACUCAAACUGCAUUUUUGCACCACGGUUCCCUCGUCUGAAAGUCAAUGGUCUCUUUUUUUAAAUGGAUUUUUGGUUUAAUGAAUGAAAAAAAGUCUGUGGUUGGCAAAAUAGUUUUCAACGUUUUGAAUAACAAUUUAAAAUACAUCAGUAAAUGAAUUUUUUUAGGUUUUAUGUUUGUUUAAAAAAGUGGUUAAAGUAGACUACUCAACUUCAACCCGUCCCCUUUCCCACAAACAACUUCAUUCCACUCGUUACUACAAAUAAAAAUGUUCUGUUUAAUUCAAAACAAUUGAAAAAGUCCCGUGUACUUUUUGUGAUACAUUAGCCACCAGAAGUGGCAUCGCCAUCACUUACACUGCUGUCCAGGUCUGUACUCUGAUGCAAUCGCACCCGGUGCCAACACAGCAACGUGAAGUCAGUCGAGCCUUAUAAGUCGCACAGUUGCAACGACAACCCGAUUCACAUGCAGGUUGAAUCCAUUAUUUACCGCCAGCUGCAGUGCAGGCCUCACAACAGGCAUCGCCCAGUUCACCCGUCCUGCAGAGUUAGCAACCCCGAUGUCGCCUGCAUCGUUAUCGACACAUGCAGCCACUUUACUCUCCACACAAUCAAUUAGUUUGGCAGCCGGGUCGUCAGCUGUGUGUCAGCCUGGCACACACAAUCAGGGUUUCCGCCGUUUAUUGCAAUCCCGACGUGACAUUAGCGCGUGUCCGGUCGGGACAAAGAGCGCGUGUGAGAUGAGUAUGAGACAUCAUAGCUGUGAAUGUAGCAGUGAGGUGUGUGUACACUUUUUUUUGUCAGUUAAUAAAUGCUUCAACCCGUCAAGACUGAAGUCAAAGCUCCUGUUUCUUCCUGACUACCUGCUGGUUAAAGCAAAGUGUGUUAGGCAAUUUUUUUUCUAAUUUAAUGUUUCUUUUUUUAUAACUUAAAGCCCGGAUAAACGUUCGGCCUGCGGCAAACUAUGGACUGUUUCUAUCAGGAAAACACAAAAUUGAGUGUUGAAGCUAAAGCAGCUGUGUAUAUUUCAUUUUUUACAGUUUGAAAGAGAGGCACAUCUGAAAAAAAAUACCUCUGUUAAUAGUCAGUGUUAGAACUGCAAUGCUAUUAUUAAGUACUCAUUGGUCCAAGUGGUAGAAAUCUUUGUUACAGGUGAUUCUACCAAUAAAUGUUAUUCUUAACCAUGCUUUUAUUUUGAAAUACUGCCAUGACGGUUGCUAUAACCUCUUGAAGGCAAUUCUGAUAUUGACCUGAAUUGUUCCAGUAACAUUGUGUCAUUAUGUUCUUGAUGGCGGAACACAGCUGUCGGCCGGGGCAGAAAAUGCAAAGUUUGAUUGUAAUCUGCGCUUCUGUCAUUACUCACUUAAUGCAGCAGAGUGUUGCAGCAAAUACCCGAAAACAAAGCGAGAGAGGGAGAAAAGAGGGGAAGAGAAGAAAAACUAAAAAAGACGAGUUCACAGUUCAGCAGCGAGCUGGCCAGAUGAAGCACUCUUGGUGUGAUUAGUCGGGAGGUGAAGUUAACAGCUAUUGACAGGCCAGGCGGGCUCUGGCUACUCUUCACCCCCAAUCAUCCUUGGCCUUUAAUCAAGUCCGAUCCCGGGACAAAACCACUGAUGAACAGUUCUAUUGGAUUACCGUGCAGCCAGGAUAUGGGCUGUGCUGAAAUUUCUGGACUCUGCAUCAUUAACAAAAACUCAAAAAUAUGUUUACAUACAGCUUUAACCCCCAAACCACACAACAUUUGCAUGCAUUCCUUCAACUUCAGAAACUAGGAACAUUCUUUCAGAAACUCAUAUUGCUGCGGCUUGCGAUGUGUAAUUUUAUGGGAGGCUGCAGAACAAGGAAGCGGGGAAUAUCCUGGCCACAUCUUUAACUUAUUCAGGCAGGAUGAUGUCAUGAUUAGAAGAGGAAAUUGGGAUCCCUCCAGAGCCUAAACACCCCAAGACUGUCGGGCCAGCCAUCCAGACGGCUGCAGGGAGGGAGACAGAGCCAGAGGGAGAGAGAAAGUUUAAGAGGAACCCAAAAAAAAAAAAAGAAAAUAUAAGAGAUGGAGGUGGAGGGCUCGUGUAGCCCCACUGUGUUAAGAUCAAAGCGCAGCUCCACUUGGCUGACAAGGAGGGGCACACACCAGGGAUGAGUGUUUGUCUAUGCAUGCAAUGUGCCUCCAUCCAGCCUUUACGCCCCUCCACCCGUACCUCACGUCAAAUACCGCUGUGCUAUAUAGAAGAUAUCCAUUCUCAUCGAAGCCAACAUGUGUGCACGCACACACACGCACACACACACACACACACACAGCACACCUACACAACGCAUAGAAGGAGUCGGUACGUUUAACAAAUCCGGCUGUGAUGCUCCUCAUGGCUUCCUUCCCUCACAUCGAGGAAACACUGAGAGGUGAUGAGGUGAAAGAGACAGAGAGCAGAGACGGGAGGGAGGGAGGGAGGGAGCGAGGGAGAGCAACAGAGAGAUUGAUUGUACUUUUUUGGGCUCAUACUCAGAAAAGAUUCCCCUGCAUGGCCCCCGAAACACUCAUACACACAUACAGUAUGUUGUAUAAUCACAUGUGUGAAAGCCCUUAAUGAGCGGACCUCAGGACUCUCACUUGAGAGCAGAACUGAUGGCUUGUAAGGAUAAGGUUUUUUCUUCUUUUUUUUUUUUUUUUUGGUUGAUUCUCAGCAACACUAAAUGUCUCUCAUGCAGAGAUCACUGGAGCAAUUAUCUCCUACUCAGCUGAGUUGAACUGGAGAGGAGCCAAGACGGGCACAAGGGGUUCUGUUUGCACACACACUACAGUCAUUUAUUUGCCCUUUAUCAUGUCUCUGGAUAAUUCUCUUGUCUUUUGACUAGUCCGGCCAAUUAGAAGCCGUUCUUUUUUUGUACCUCUGACGGCUGCAGCAGGAAAGCCCCAACUGUGCUUUCCCACACUUCCUAGUUAGGUGGAAAAGCUGGUUUAUCGCUCAGAAGGUCACGUCCCUAAAAUGAACUCUGCAGUAGCAGAAAAAGAAAGAACUCUUCAUUCCCUGAUUCUGGUUUGUACAGAUGAGCGUGUACACACAUCUGUAGAGGCGAGCUGCUCGUUUACAACGUGAUCCGACCGGAGAAAGAGACCUCAGGUUUGUGAGUGUGUAACAGAGGAGGGGGGCUUCAUGAAUGUGAUGUUUAAGCAUGUUUUUACUUCACAUGAAGAAAAGAAGUUUUCCAACAAAGAAAAUGAUCUCGUACGACGAGCCUGUAUGAGAGUGUCAUACCCUUCUUUAGGUUGUGACCACGUGUGGCCCCUACGGCCCCUCGCAAAUCCCUACCUGUCAAUGGACGGCUUUGGGCCUCGUUCAGAUCGGCCGCGUUGCAACAAGUCCAACCUCGCCCUCCCAGGCCCGAGACAGUGAGGGAAUCACUUAAAGAGUUUUAAGGGCUCAUAUUUCAUCCCCUGGCCACAUAGAAUUUGACCUGCAACACUGUGAAAUAUGUUCAGCCUUCCAACUAAAACAAACAAAACGUAAUUCUUCAUCAGCAUCUUCUUCAACGGGCUGAAGAAGGCGGCAAAGAGAAACGAGGGCUGAGCGGAGGGUUUCGUUUAAGCGGCGACCCUUGUUUGCAAUCGUAUUCUUGUCCGGUGUGAGGGAGGGGACGCGAAGGGGGGGCUGGGGGUUACAUGCAGCUUAAAAACAACUUCAUUCCCUCUUUAUGCAAACAUGUCAAUCAUUUCUGACAAAGGAGCAGCUUCUGAGAUGAUGAUUUAGAGAAGAAGACGCAGCGAGGUCAAUUUGAGUCUGGCUUCCAGGCACACAGUGUGGGACUGUGGUGUUUUUUUUGUGACGCAAAAGAACAGACGCCUCGACACUUCAGGGAUGGAAAGCGAACGCCGACUAGUCAAUCAUCGCACAGUCGGCUGUGGUCUUUCUGCGACGAAGUUACAGCGGGUUCAGUAGCUAACAUUUCAAAGGAACAGGUCACGAGUCUAAUGAUGACUUACGGCUGUCUUACCGUGUCCAUUCAUGUGACAUUCUAGCAAUGUUAAAUUCAUCAUUCAUGUCCAGAAAAAAAAAAAUAACCACAUUUCCAAGUCAAGUCAAUUUACAGAAAACUGAGGUAAUAUUUCCCUCAGAGACUUGGUUGACUUCCCUACGUGAUUAUCCAGGCAAUGUGGAUGCACUUGGGGAGGAUAUCCAACGACCAUAACUAGCGCUCAUCAGAAGUCACCUGAUCCCUUGUGGAAGUGCGUUGUAAGACCCGCACUCGCUGGCAUCCUGAGUUUAUUCAGGCCACAGCCCUCACUUCCUCUUCUGGUGUAAAUUUAAAUACAUAUGAAAGCAUUAACGUGUGUGGCUACGACCACACUUAAGCUGUCAGAAUAUCAAAGAAUAGUUGGCCGAUGUGUGUCUCUCUGUGUGUGUCUAUUUGGAAUGAAAAUACAUCCAGCCCCCAGCAUGACCUCCAUCCUUUUUUUUUUCUUUCCUCAGCUUGGCUAAUUUCACCUGAGCCUGCGCGGGUUCGUUCUUGGUGGGAAAUAAUAGGUUUGGCACAGAUCUGGAAGCGAUUUGCCAUCAGCGUGGAUUGAUUGGAGCCACAGUCUGGCUCGUGUCAGCCCGGAGGAGGGAUGGUGGAUAAAGGUCACCGGUGAGGUUGAAAUUAGUCAGGGGAAGCAUGAGCGGCCUCUGGUACAGUGUCAGGCCUGAUUAGGAGGAUCCUGGGCCCUUGACACAGUGCAACCAGCGUGCAACCAAAGACACACACAUGUGCUUGAAGGGUCAACUGCGCACGACGUGUACACAAGACAUGGUGCCAAUGGCCUCGUGGGAGAAACAACCCUGCAGGGGAAAAGGUCCGUUCAGAGGAUUGCGAAGAGAAAAGUGUGGUUCAAUCUGCUGAAAGAAUUGGCUCAAAGCUACUGGGGACAACGGAACAUGACGCAUUUAGAAGUAGAAGACAAGCGAAUGAAGGAGUUGUCCAAAAUAAAUGAAUAUCGGUGUCUUAAAACGUGCUCAUCUGAAGGCUGUGAAGCCCCCCUUCCCCCCCCUUACGUGACAGAGGAAGAAAAAGGAAAUGAAAGUAAACGUCGUCGGCAUCUCAAGAGCACCUUUUUGUCGGCAAAUGAGAGAAAAGCUUUUUCCGCGAAAAACGUGACAAGGCUGCCAAAUGUAAUAUCCCUCCUGACAUGUGAGUGGGGAGCACUUCAACAGCUCGCCCAUCAAAACCCGCUUGAUCUCACACUUGUCGCGAUUACACGACACAUUAAAGCCGUUUCAGUGCGGACGUUUUUUCUCCCCUCCUUUUUUCACCCGCUUGUCAGUUCAGACCUUCACCUGUAAGAAUGUUUCCUUUUUAAUAAUACAAAGUUGGCUAAGUAUAAAAUGAGAUGUGGGUCCAUCCACCAGGAAGUGAGGAUUCCUUCCUGUACCAUUUUACAAUGGUAGUAAAAGGUAAAAGAAGAAUGCAACAGCUUGAGAGUUUAUUUCCAGUAUUUUAGGCCAUUUCGACCAUCUGACAACCGCUUCUGUCACACUUACUUACUUACUAAUCUACUUUGUUGAUGAAAUUCAAUGGAAUCUGUCAUAUCUCUAUAUGGGCCCAUUAUGGGUACUUGAGAGUACAACUUCUCACAUUUAUUUCAGCGAAAAACUGGAAAUUCAGGUUGUGAUGGGUUUCAUAUUUGGGAAAAAUGACAAUAAUUACUUUAAACAGUUUGAAAAAAAAUGACAAAAAAAGAGAAAUAUCAAUCCAAACACUUCACUCUCACCUCAAAAUAGGUCUUUAAACAUGUUGAUUCAUGCUAAUUCCUAUAAUACAUAAUAUAUAAAAACAAUUAGUUUAGGGAAAAUAGGAAAUAGUCUUUUAAGAAAAAACAGGCCUUGUUUUCAUUUUCUGAGAGACGAGCAGGGAAACAAAAGAAAACUGAUCUACAAGUCAAUGGGAUCUCAAGAGCUUUUUGUCUGGAAAUCCAAAAAAAGCUUUUUAGGAAAAUCUGACACAGCCGCCAAAUAUAAUAUCACUCUUGCCAAAGUAGUGGAGUGCGCGUCCAACUGUUAGCCCAUCAAGAGCCCGCCUGAUUACACUCGUCACGAUUACAGGAGACAUUACUGACAUUUCUGCUCAGACGUCUAUCAAAUAUGAAUGCGUUUCCUCUCUGAAGGGCGCAGGAAGGGAACAGAUGUCUCUGGAAGGAAUUGGGAGCUGAAACGUUAUUUUUCAGUUGAUUUUAAGAAAGUGGCUUUAAUGAAAGAUGAAAGUCGAUGGAGAUGCCCAAGUACAAGCGGGGCUGGGAAAAGUGGUGACAUGGAGGAACGGGGGUUUGAAAUGAGAGCUCGUUCCAACUUCUGACUGAAGGCUUCUCAUAAAGUCACAUUCAGCAGUAUAUUUUAAGCUCUAUAUCACAGCUCCACCUGUUGCAAUGCUUCCUAAUAAAAUUCACACGUCGCAUAUCAAGUCGCAAGUGCUGAAACAUCAAUAAGGUUUGUCUGGAUAUCACAGAUCACAUUAAAAGUGGAGAUAUUUGAUGUAAAGCAUCCUGUGUGUGUGUUAGUGUUUGGUUUGCACGUGUGUGUCUGACAUAAAAGCAUUCGCUCUCAUUUGCGUCUUUCACUGUGCUACAUAAACACAUCUAUUAAUGUACACGCGUAUAUAUGUUCGGUGAAAAAGAUGUCAGAUUCUUUGCCAUCUUCUUCUCCAUUUCUAACAAAAAAAAAUAGAAAUCCUUCUGCGCAUGCACAUGUGUUCCCUGCAGCACAUUCCUCAUUGUAUGUGGCUCCGGUACCUCAGGGUGCUGUUGAGGGUGCCAUGCUCCUCAGCACCAGAAUGACACUCAACAGACAGCCAGUCAGACAGAUAUAGCAUGAAAUAUUCAGCAGUAGGUGCUCAUAUCUUCUGACUUCACCACCACUGAAUGGAGAAGUGGUUUUAGCCGUGUCUAUCAUUCACUCAUCUCCUUUUCCAAGGUGCUAUUGUGCAAUCCUCAACGGCGUUUUUCUUUUACUGAUGUGCAGGUCUGAGUGACUCCUGCUACGUUGUACUAAUGCCACGGCUCACAGAUUCAUCAGUGGUUUGGUGCGUAUUUAGCAACGUCAGCAGUGGCAUUUCUUGUUCGUGUGGUUCGUGUCUGACAACAUCCUCAGAUCGGCCGGGAAAAAAUAGUACUAAAAAUAACAAUGCAUUUUAUUUGUACCGGACAAAUGGUCGCACGAAGGCAUACUCACAGGCAUAUGGUAAAAAAAACAACAAUAAAACAAUGACUGCAAUAACAAUACAAAGAUGACUCUAUUGGAGUAAAACACACAACGAAAAAAUACAUUAAGUCUUAUGGGAAAAAGCUAAAUCUCUGUGCCUUUUUUCAACACUUCCUUAGUUUCUGGUUCCUUCCAAAACCCUCCUUUUUUCGCUCUCACUUGCUACAGAAAGGAAGGCUACCGCAGCCUUUCUGAGUCCCAUUCUUAGCAUACUAACUUCUUGCUACCCUUCCUCCACCGGCCGUGUCAUUGACGGACAGGGAUUACACGGAGGUGCUAAUGAGGGCUGCUCUACUAUGGAUAAGCUCCAUUUGUCAACGCGCUGCAAUUUCCAUACUAGAAACUGACAAAUGUUUGAGUGAGUAAUUUGUUAAACCUAAUUACAGUGUGACAAUGGCGCACCUAUUUAACUUAAGUUUGCUGGACUUUUCAUGUUUAAUUAUUUGUACUAAUUCAAUAAUAAUUCAUAAAUGUUUUAUGUUUUUAUUUCACCCUACAUUACAAGCUGUUUGGAUUAUGAACAAUACAGGAUCACAUGUCAAAUGUCUGUGGCCAAGGCGUACUCGGUUAUGACGCUACAUUUGCUUCAACUUCAAUUUGUCUGCCUACGUCAGGAAAUGUUUAUGGAAAAGAAUUAAAUAAAACAAAUAAUAGCUUUUUAGAAAGUCAUGUGGGAAAGUCAUGUGGGUUGAAUUGUCUGUUUCUCUCUCAUGAACCUCAUCCGCCGCGCUGUGGUAAUGCGGUUAUUGAGUUGCUAUAUUGUAAGUACUGAGCCUCAAAUCCAGCAGGGUCUGCGGAUGGCGCCACUCGUAGCCAGCCAGUUUCUCCCCCACCUUUGCCCUCCUCCCACCUCCCAAGCGAGGAGCACUCAGAGCCAAGGUCCAGGAAUUAGCCCCAGCACCCGUCCAGACAACAGAUCAAUGGGCCCGGUCCUGUAUUGAUAGGGCCACUUGGGCUCCAGAAGUGCCUGCUAAUCCCUGCAGUUUAUCAGCCACAGUGGCUGCUGGGAUUUGUUGCCUGGUCCAGUUCUCUGUGUGGCAGACCGGCUUAUGCGUGCGGAUGCACUCUCACUCUCUCACUCUCUCACACACAGACACACACACACACACACACAUUGCACACACUUCCCUACCUCUCAUCGUCCUCCCCUUUUCUCUCAAUGUGGCGUCAAUUGCAUUACCUCGGGUGUUAGGGCCACAGCUAUAGAAUUGCCUCGUUGGAGUUGGCCGUGGCCCGGGUGGCUGUAACUGUAUCCAGUGUCCUGCUAAAGGGGGCAGGAGGCUGGCUGGCUGGCAGACAGUAAGUCUGACCGGAGUGUGGCCCAUUGAUUCUAAUGGGCUUUUUAGAGAGCCUAAUGAUGGGAAUCUCUUCACGCCUCGCUUGUCACGCCUAAUUAAGCCAAAGCAACAAUGAGUCCAUUCACACUGGCUCAGGUUACCUCCCUAACCCCUCCCCUUAGCGCCAGCGUUGCUCAUUUUAGCAAAAAAAAUGACGUGCACGGAUUGAGGCCUGGAUGUUGUUUAGAUAAAUAUAGAUAUAUGGAUAGAGAUCGACAGAUGGAUGGAUUGAUGUACAGCGGAGAACAAAUAAAUAAGAGAACUCGGAUGUAUGCACUGAAAUUAUUAAGGGGUUGGACAAUUAUAUACAAUCAAAUGGCAAAAUCUUCAUGCAUUGCCUCCAAUUGCACCAAUUUGUCAGUGAAAGCUCCGACUCUCAAAACACCAGUAUGUUCCCUUCGCAAGCAGCUUAAACUGGCAAUGAGCUUUUAAGAAAGGACGUCGCUUGGGGCGGGUGUAACUAAAUAAUCAUACCACAAAGCCACCGAGUUGCCCUCAGAUCUUGAACACAGCCUGGAAACAAACACUCACAUAGGCUUCAUUGGCUGUUGAUUCCAGCAGAUUGCCAGUGGCAACUGGACAGAAUCAUAACAAGCAAAUCUGCCGGCGGCUGUCUAUCAUUAUCCACAUUUACCAGUCCCCCCCCCCCAUCCCCCGUGAACUGAUCUUGCUUGUUUUUGUGUGUAUGUAAGCGCGCAUUACGUGGUUUAACUCCCGUAAGGUCAAACUGAGUGGCUUCCUGUCAGGCUGCCUGAUGGCCGUACAUCAGGUGUGUGUGAUGGAGCCAGCAGAUAAACCGCAUGCACCACCGUGCUCUCCGGCCCUGUUUGUGUGCACAUGCUUUUAGCCGGCCACUUAACUGCCAGGAUUAGGUCUGUAAGGAGAUAAUUGCAGGGUGAAUGUAGACGGCGGUUGCCGUGUGUGACUCAAAAGAACCGUGGACACCUUUUGUCAACCUUUACCUGCGCCUUUGUCUCGGGGCGGAGUGUCUCUUUAUGGAGGAGAGAGGGAGGGAGGCGGGUGUGCGCUGUUUGAGCGUGUAGUGUGUGGGCUGGACGUUACCUUUUUUUUUUUUUACCGAGGACCGUUCUGACAUGAAUGCCGUCUAAAGCAGGGGAGUGUCGGUAAAUAUUGAUCUCUGUGUGUCGCUGCAUGAAGUAGUCUGCCGCAGACUGAUUCACCCUGCAGCUUUCUCCCGUUGAUCUCUGCUAUUCAUCAGGCUGUUUGACACGGAGACAACAGUUCAAAUAGGACAAGAUGAGACAGUGUAGGGAGCCCCAUGCAAGAUCAAAAGGACAUUUUUAGAAACCGGGCAUGGAUCCAAUAAAAAAAACAGCAGGCCUUCUCAAAACGGCCCUGAAAAGAAUAAGUGAAUACUUCCCGCGUGUGUGUUUCCCUAAUCAAUGCAAUCAGUUAAUCAGCUUCAUGGAUUAAGUGACAUAACUGGUGUAAGCGUCUGGAUACAAGGAGCCGUCAGUGAGCAGCUGAAUGUGAAAUGUGAUAUGGCGAUGAACAUGACAGGAUGCUGUAGCAAUUAAAUAGAAGCAAAUAUGUAGGGCACAGUGUAUGUGUGUGUGUGUGCGAGUGUAUGUGUGUGUGUGUGUGUGUGUGUGUGUGUGUGUGUGUGUGUGUGUGUGUGUGUGUGUGUGUGUGUGUGUGUGUGUGUGUGUGUGUGUGUGUGUGUGUGUGUGUCGGACAAGAGAAAGAGAAAAAGAGAAUGGGGUAAAGAGAGUUUGCCAGUGACAAGGAAGUCAAAUGAGGGAAAGCUCCAUUUCCCCAGCUAAAUGUACCCCUGGGAGGCGUAAGGGAGGGAGGGAAAGCAAGAAAGAGAGAAAGGUUAUGAACCAACAAUACUCCUGCAUGGCUGCAGAUUUACUACUACCGAGCCCUCAGAGCUCUGCCUUGCUUAUUUCUACAGCCAGUUAAAACAAAUUGCAGCCAUGUUUCAAUCACCCACAUCCUCUCCUUGCUCAUCCGCUCAGAUGGGCUUUUAGCUGCUGUACUAUUUCUCUCCCUCUCUAUAGCUGAACAAAUGCUUUCCUCUAGUGAGGCAAUCUUCAUCCACUGGAAAGUCCCCAUUUUUUUUGGCUGAAACAUCCACCCACAGUCUGCCACCCCAAAAGGCUCCCUCGGCUCCCUUCUUCCUAAUGUCAACUCAAUAUGGGACCCGGAGUGGUGCAAACAGGAAAUGGCUCUCAGAAACCGUCGCCACUUUCAAACUUUGUUUACUUCCCUUUUGUCAUCAAUGAGGAACUUUUAAUUCCGUAAAGCAAACGAUUUGGCCUUACACGCUGCUCUUUUUCUGUCAAAUGCUCAACUAAAAAAAAAGUUGGCUGGAAAUCAUGAAAUUAACUAAAAUUCUUGCCUGAGACCACAGAAAGUGAAGAGAUGCCGCCUCUUUGGGUUGAAAGCUUUGGUAACCGGAUACGCUGCUUGAUUUGGGUUCAAAUGAGAGAGAGCAACGUCGGGCAGACUGAGUGGGAUGGGGGUAGAGGAUGGUUGGGGGCAGGUAUGGGGUCACAAGAGUGUCUUUUUCAUGUUGCAGAUUAGAAGCAGAUGUCGGUGGGAUUACACCAUCAGUGUCAUCACUCACCCCACAGCCCCGCCUACAUCUAUACACAGUCAUAGUACAUGCACGUACACACAAACACACGCGCAAAACGCACUCACAGAAACGCGAGCGCGUUGGAAACGAUUCACAGAGGACUCAACCGUCCACACAGCCAUACGGGACGAGUAAGAAGCCUCAAUGACUGAUGUGACGCCCCGUUCAGCGGCUGAAUUAGCCAAUUUCACGUUGUUCAAGUUCUUCAAAUCAAUCAAAACCAUUCGAAAACAUGAUCAACCAGAAAAAACAGGAUCAGAAACACGCUUACACACAUAGUUGCUUAAGGGAAGCAUUCGUUUUGAAGCAGCUGCUGGAAUGUGACGUACAAGUGUUCAGCCACGAGAUGCUGAUUUAUUGCUUCAUGAAAGUUAAUCUCAAUCUAGAUCUGUACAUCUUUGUCGCAUUUUUGCUUGUGGGUCAGUUUGAAGUAUUGCCAGCUUUGGAAAAGCGUGACGCUUUUGCCGUAGACUGGCAUGAAGGAGGGUGGAUCCCGAGCGAAAGAUCCAAACACUUACUGGAUCCGUUUGUUUGAUCCAACUCAACCAAAAACGUGCUCCAUCGAUUUCAUUUGUUGUUUAAACACUCAAAAGGUGAAAAGAGCUAGUCUACUGAAGAAUGUAACCUAACCAAAAUAAGUAACUUAAAAAUCUUGCUGCCCACAUUUUUUUUAAUGCCAUCAAUUUUGACUUUAGGUGACCUUUGAUUGCAUUAUAGGCUGUUACGCUAAUGAUAGCAGUAAUGCUGCAUCCCUCUCUGAUGUCUCUACACGCUUGUCCCCAGAUCCACCCCAAACCACUGACCUCGGCGCUGUGCACCUCCUACAGCCUUGAAGUGGUCCUGGGCUGAAAGAUAAAUGAUGUGACGGAGGAACCUCUGUCUGCAGAGAGCUUAUUGGAGCACCUCUGAAGUUGCAGAGAGCCAACGGGGUCUAAUACAGGAGAUCAAGGAACCCUCCAUGCUCUAAUGUGUGUGUCUGUACGUGAAAAUUUUAUAUGCAAAUCAAAAAUAAGCGUGUAAAUGACGCCAAUAUGUGAGCAAAUUCCCGGCUCUAGCGGACGUGUUUUGCUUGGCACUGGCAUUUGACAUCUGUGGUGUCAGCAGGGUGUUGGUCUAAGACAAGAGCCUGGAGGCUCCAGAAGAGAUCGCUGAGAGGAGUCAAAGCUGAGGCCACGAGUGCUUAUUGCUCCUGACAGAAACUAAACUGGGGCUGAGAAUAUGGCCACGUUUGCUGAGAAACAUCGUCACAUCACAAUGUGUUAUUUUGCAACAAACCAGCGAAGCCUGGAAGCCUUUUUUUUUUGUUGUUGGGCGCAGAGGUCUCGACCAAAUGUCAAAGAUAACUGUGGAUCAACUGUGACCGUAGGCUUCAUAAAAGAUUUGUGGUCAUAUGUGAGAGCAGCGUCGCUGAAAUAUGAAUACAACAGUCUGUCUCAACACGAUAUGCGUUUGGGUUCAUCAUGCCAAACAACCACAAACACGGAGAAAAAUCCCCAGAAGACACUGAUUUACAAGAAGACACAAAAGCACAUAAACUGGACGUAAUAUAUGUUGGUGUGUGUGUGUGUGUCUUUUGAGAUCACAGAGUGUGGACAGUUGAGGCUCCAGUCCAAAGCUGGGAGGAGAUUUGGAGGUGCCGCCGUUGUAGCAGACUGGCGGAGAUUAAAGAACUUAAGAUAGAGAGACAUUCAGUUCAAAGACUGCAAUACAGCAGUAUUUACGAGAGUAUGUCUGAAAAUCGCAUACCGCCACAGCACUUAACACAUGGAUCAUUGCAAAAAAUAUUGUUCCUAUGGAGGUCUACGUGGAGCCAUGAGGAUCAACGUCACCCUGGGUUGUUGAGCCUCUGUGUCUUUAGUUUUUUCAGAAGCAGACGCUAAAACACUUCGACCCACAUGUAGUCCACGUUAGACACACAACACUUCAAGAAUAUUAGGCACAAAACAGAGACAUUAUGAGCAUGAGACACAACCCAAAUGCAGCUUGUUUUGACCUAUAUUUAGUUUUCAGAGGGUACAUCUGUCCCCUCUUAUCUGCUCCACGACAUGGUGACUGCAUGCACCCUUUGAGUGCUUUCUGAGAACGGCCCUAGAGCUCGGAGAGCCAGCUCUUGAGCGACGAUCUUCAUGCUCUUGACCCGGCGGCACAGCGUAGAUACAGCCUUAACUAUGGUAACUAAUGCAGAUGCUCAAUGGCAAACCUUAUCUCUUAAUAACUCCUGUUGAAACUCUCCACAUGGUACAGUGAAAGCUUUUGUUUUUCAAGUGGUUUGUUUUGGUUUUUGCUUGGGUCAUUUUGGAUUUCAUAAACUGAUGUAAUUAGGUUUAAAAGAGGAAAGCACGUUAUACACAGCCCCAUUAUUACAGAGCAUAAUUCACGAAAUCUACAAAGAACUGAAACAAAUGGCUGAACACAUACUAUCACCAUUGGCUGCUGCACUUCAUUGAGAUCCAAGCCCACAGCUCACCGAGAAAUGUGAUAGAAAUGACUGAUUAUGUUUGUGCAUUUUGCUCUUUUAUAACAAUUCCUCUUCUACACUACACAGGCAGCAUCACCAUGUAUCCUGAGCUAAACAAAGAAAUCUGAGCUUGAUCAUCUUUAUGAGAUAUGAGCAUUAUUUUACUCCAUUAGAGGUCUGUACUGUCAACUGGGAGCUAGAAGUGACAACGGAAGCACCUGCAGCUUCUCUGUGAAAAAGUAUUCUCACUGUGUGGUUAUCAAAGCUUCGCUUGCGUAGCCGGUCCGGUCAUGAGUGUGCAUGUGUUAGUUAAUUUACUGUGCAGUGUGUGCUUUACUAAUUGCCGCCACUCAGACGGCGGUUACCGCUGACAACGCCGUCCCAACCCCCCGCGUUGUCAUACAAGCCGUAACACCGCACAGUCCCCUCCCCGGGAAACCCAUUUUAACCUCCGUCAACACUGUUGCCAUGGUUUCCGGUCCAAGUACCGUUGGCGGCUAGCCGCCGGAUCGGCCAUCGCCAUGUUGAGAGCCAAGUGGAGGCAAUCCGUCAAUCGCAGAAAUGCUCUGAAUUUAUAAUCUUGCACCUUUGAUUAAAAAAAAAAAAUUAAACGCUUACUAUUUUAAUUUGACUAGGCGUAAUAAUUUCGGAGCAAAUCUGCCGUAACAGCAGUUGUUGUUACAGCAAAGUGCAGUUAAAGGCAAUAAAUCCAUGUUCAAAUUCUUUUCAUUGCCAUGACCUGCACCCACAUUGUGAAUUUAUAUCGUAAAUGUGCUCCCUUUGACCCUCAAUUAACUUUAAUGAAAGCGGGAAGCCACAUAGUCUUUGUUACAUAUGUAUCUUAAGUGUGCACGUGCAUACACGCAUAUAUGUUUUUCCACAUCCUCUCCAUUCUUUCUCUUUUCUCUUUAGGUCCUCCAUGUUACUUUUCAGCAAUUGAAAUCAAGGUAAUGACUAGGCAAGGAAAAAGAAUGUUCUUUCAAUAGAUAAUUAGGGAGAUUGGUUUACCAGGGCCACUCAAAGCCCAUUCAAAUGCAGGGCUGAGGCCCGGCCUUGUUGUCUGCGGAGCCAAAAAGGCUCCCCAGAGAGGCAUUCGCCUUGGCUUCAUUUCUCAGAGCAGGUGCCUGGCAGGUAGUCAAUGGAGCCAGUUGAGAUAUACAAGAGACCCAUCCCCUUGGACAAGGGGUCAACAUCACAGGUCAAGGGUCAUGAGCAGAGGUCACAAGGUCAAUGUUUAGCACACAAGAUCGGCCAGAUGACUGGAAAUGCGGCCUGGACAGCAAGUGGUCAGUUGUGCGACUGAGCGCUUGCAGGAAGUGGAGGUACUACGGAUGUUGAUUGACUGCCACGGAUUAUUUCAAAUCUUUAUAAAUAUUGAAUGUAGCUGGCAGCGCAAUCAAUUAAAAGAAAACACACUGUACACACUUUGAAUGUCCACAAAGGAUUUUUCAACGAAAAUAUACUAAUUCCUGUUUGUCCAGUCAAGGAGUUCCUCUGUUGUGUCUCGCAAGGUCACUUCUUUAUUAACUUUAGGCAACUUAAACCGUUUAACGAUAUGUUGGAACUAAAUUGACAUGAACCUGUAACCUGGUGGUCCCUCGGCCCAAAUAUUCUUAGAAUUCCUCUCGACAACAUGAGCGGUGCAGGAUCAGAGGUCAGAAGUGAAGUGCACUCUGAUUUCUAAUUAAAUCUCAGUGAAGCGAUCUGUCAUUGGCCGUAGGCUACCAUUGAGAAGGGCUCAGCUACCAUGGCUUCACACGUAAACGUAUACCCCCUCCCCACCCCCCCACCUUAAUACCACACCACCCUGGACUCCAGCCACCUUGGGUUCCCUGGCUACACCCCAAGGGAAACACUAUAAAUGUCAAUGUCCUGCGAGGCGGCUACUGGAGGAGUCCCAGCUAUCAUGCAAGUGAGAAGCAUGUAUGGUUUAACAGGAGCUUUUUUUACUCUAGUGGCAGUUCCUGAAAAUGCAACAGUAAUUUAGAGUCAGAUCCUCUUACAUAGCGGUGGACCUGAGCUUCUGUGAUAUGUAACGGAAACUCUGUUGGGUUGGCAAAAUGUGCACACCCAAUCGCUGCCCUGUGCACAUUCAACGAUACUGUACACAUGUCAGGGAAUGAUUACGGAGAGAACAACAGUAUACAGGGAAACCUCAGCUCAAACCCUGUGCGGUAUACAAUGUUCAGGUACCUAGGACCCAUUCUUCAUUAGCAUUUGUGGCAAUAAGCACAGCAGCAUAUCCAAUAUGCAUGCCAAUUUUUCUCCCUCUAAUCAAAUAGAAAGCCUGUGAAGUAAAUAUCUAUUUUCUUACAGCCUGGCUGUUUACAACAUGAGGGAGCGGCUAUAUAAACAGUGCGUGGCGAUUGAAGAAUUUAUUUUAACGUAUCUGGAAAGCAUAUGCUAGAUAUAGGAAACCCAUAGAGUCAGUGGCUCCAUAUUGGCUGCAGAGGUCAAAGGCUAGAGAAGGUCAAAGGUUUCAUCCUCCUUUCUCAUCAUGAAGUGCAUUAACUUCUUCCCCCUGUCCCGUCUCAUCCAGAUGGCCGACCAGGCCACAGGACAGAUGCCCCAUUUUAAAAUAUCUCAGGGAUCCAAAAUGCACCAUUGAGAAUAAAUAUGGCUCCAUCUUUAGGACAUCAUAUUUCAAAGGAAUAUGGCUAUGGAUACGGGUGGACUGUUUAAAGCAUGUGUAAUUGAUUCUUGGUCCGAUUGUGACAGCUUGCUCUUUUGAGUUUGUGUUUUAACUAUUCAAUUUUUCAUUGUCAGAAAGUAGUGUUGAUUUGUACCUCAACUGUAAUCAUUAGAUGCUUACACGGGUACCCAGUCAGACAUACUAAUCUCACGUUUUAGAAACAAGUCAGAAAAAUAAACAUCCAAAAACAUAAAAUGUACGUUAGUUACAUAGUGAUCAAAUGUUAAACCUAGUCAACCAUGAUACUGCACUGCAAUUAGGCCAUGUUGUUGCUAUUGGCAGUAGACCAUGAUCCCUGUUCAGAAAAAGGCAGGGACGUUACCUGGAGGAAGUGACCUCACUUGUGUGCCUGAGUAAUUCAAUCCUCGGUAGUUGGAGGUCUGCAUGUACGGCAUUCUUCCCCUUUUUGCCCGGGUUUGGCCUAUAAUUACCAAAGCCCUCAUGAUUAAUGUUGUUGAGAAGCCGGCCCGUUAGUGGCUUCACAAGCAGCAAGCAAAGAAAUAGAAAGUCCAAUCGUAAAAAACUCAUCACACAGUGUCCCCCUUCAACCAAUGAGCAUGGUCUAUAAACAGAUGACCCCCACUUCUCAGAGCCUUUAUUCUAACAGCACCAAAACUCUUCCAGGUACACUCGCUGUCAAACGAAUGAAGCCUCUCCAAGCCAAAUGGGUCAAAGCAUCCGGCCUGCAGCUUUGGGUUGGCCCUUGGCGCGGCUUCUUAAGACAUUCACACGCAUUUAUGUUUUCACAGAGCAGCAGUGACUCAUACACACCUUUAAGCACACACAAAAAUCACAUACUGCACGCUACCCUGCCCGGAGACCUCUGACUUGAACCUGCUGCUCUCACUCAGCAAUACAUAAAUCACUGGGCUCUCAGCAGCACCGCUGACCCUCAGCGCCGUGCUGAACUUGACUCCACGGGAAUACAAGUCCGUAACUGAAUACAAAACUAAUUCAGGCAGAAACAAUUGUUGGCAUACAGGAGGUCCGAGAGGUGCCGAUACUGCCCCCCACCCAUGCGACAACAUCACAUCUCUGACCUUCUGCUCUCCGGCUAGCUAAGGGUGCUACUGGUCAGAGAACAGAGAAGCACUGGGAUUGAGUGAGGACGUGAGGGAAAGGCGCAGAUGAACCAUCUGCCUCCACCCAACCCUAACUCAUCAACUCCGUCAGGUAUACUUGAGAAGUUACAGAGCUGCAGCGGUCAUUACACUCACAAACACACACACACACACUGCUAUUCAAAUGCAUAUUUUAGGUUGUAGUAUCAUCUAUGGUAUUUUGCACAUUUCCAAGGCUUCCUUUCAGAGGCAGAUCUUCCCCUUUUUACUUUGUUCAUUUAUUUAUUUUACUAACUAGAACCAUGCACACUAUCAUCUUCCAACACAUGCAACUCGUUCUUAUUAUUACUACUGUGUCACAUAUUGACACUUUGUAAUGCACUGGGUCGCCUAAUUAGCUGGUGUAAACUUGUGAUUGACAAUAUCAAUUUCAACAACACAAAACUACUUUAAAAUACUUUUUAAAAUAAUUAAACAACGUGAGCAUGCAGGACAAGUCACAAACACCAUUGAUGAAACCUCGAAAUACAAAAACGAGUCUCGAACAAUGGUUUCCUAAUUAUAAGUUGUUUGUUUGUGUGACUCAGCCACCCCUCCCUCACUUGAUCCCGCCCAGUUUGUUCCUUUUCUCGGAGCGUCUUCAUAAGCCCAGUGCGUCUCACACAGGCGCUGAGGGCCGCGACAAACAGUUGAUAUCUGACUCCGGCGGAUCGAGAAAGGGGCUCCAGCAUGAUAAUGUUGUAUACAGUGUGUGCAUUGUUUGUUCUGAGGAGAUUUGUUAACGAGGUUUAAUUUUCUCGUUUCCGGGACACUGAAGAACACAGUUGAGCCGUUGAGCCUUUUGGGGGCGUGGCCUAAUUGAGCAACAUAUUGAAGAAAGAAUGUGUCUAUUCAAUAAACCCCGGUGAUUAAUGCAAGCAGGCUCUGAAGGGGCCGCUGCCUUUGUCAUGCUCCUAAAGACGCGUAAGGCAAUAAUGAAAAGCAAAACUUUAUUUGGAUCGGUUUCCCAUUGUUUCCCUGUUAGUCUACUUUUCUGUCGACAACCAGGCACAGCAGAGCCCUAACAACACCCUGCUGUAAAUAAUUCAACAGCCCGUCCUGUAAUGUGGCAACCUCCCACACCACUCCCCAACCGUCUAAAUGCGCUCCGGCAGCGCUGUGAAACCUG